AUUUUGAAAUAGGGGGAAGCAUCCUGGAUUAGCCAGGUAGUUCCAGUACAAUCACAAGGGUGUUUAUAAAGCAGGAGGUGGAAGCAGAAGAGUUAGAGAAAAUAGGGCAAUCACAUCAGAGUGACAACCAUGGAUCAAGGAAUGUGGGCAGACACUAGAACCUGGAAAAGGCAAGGAAAAGAUUUUUGCCUCAAGCCUCCAGAAGAAAUGCAACUCUGUAGGCAUUUUGAUAUUAGCACUGCAGGACUCAUUUUGGACUCCUUACCUCCAGAACUGUAGGAUGACAAAUUAUCAUAAGCUCUUAAAUUUGUAAUAAUAUGUUAGAGCAGCUGUAGAAAAUUAAAACUAAUGAGAUACACUUUAUUCCUACUAAAUUACCUUUAUUUGAGGAUAACACUAAAUUUUUAGAGUUUAGGAAAUAUCAAUUCGUAUACCACUGUAUAAUAUAAAUUGGUACAAAUUCCCAGAAGGUAAGCAACAUGGACCAAAUUCUAAGUCCUUAAAAUAAUUUUAAUAUUUUUGUUCACUAACUAAACUUCAUGAAUUUAUAAUGAGAAAAUAAUCUUAUAUGUGUACAAAUAUUUUUGCAUAGUUAUAUAUAUUCAAAUAUUAAAUAUACCAAAACUGGAACCAAUUUAAGUGGUUAAGACAAAGGAAAUGGUUUAGACAAACUUUAUUAUAACCAUGCAAUGAAGUAUUAUACAUGGUGGUCAACUCCAUAAAAUGCUAAAAGAAAGAAGCAGACACCAAAACAUAUGAAAAUUACAACUCUUUCCUGUAAAAGGUAGACAUAAAAAAAGAUAUACACAGGAAAAAAUUAAGAAUACACUAAAAUAACAGAUUAUUUUUGUAUUAUGAGAUUUUGUGUGAUUUCCAUUUUCACCAUUAUAUAGUAUUGAGUUUUUGAAAUGUAUUUUCCUGAAAAAUUAAUGCAUUACUUUUAUAAUCAUAAAAUUUAAAUAGGAAAUGUAUAUUUAAUAUAUUGUUAGGAGAAAACUCAAUAAAUAAAACAUACCAUCAUUGUUAUGUGGAUAUGUGGCAAGCCCAGAAUCCUCACAGUUUAGCUCUUUGUACCAUUAUUCUGUUAGUCUCCUCUGCCACCCCUCUUUAUUGUAUUCCCAAGGCUCUCUGGAUUCUAGGGAGCAUAGUGUAAAAAUCACUGAUCUAAUCCAACUCAUUCACUUUGCUGAAAUCCAGGAAACCUAAGUAAAAAACUGAUAUUGUAAAGCUAGAUCUAGAAGAAAUGUUCUCUACCUCCUAAAAUUGUGGGCUUUGAAUUAUGUCAUAUUGCACUUCACCUUUCCCUCAGGCUGGUUUGGAAAAAGUAUGAGUAUCUGAGUGUCUCCUUCUCUCCUGGGAUGUCUUACCAGGGAAAAAGGGGGAAAAAAUAAAUUAAGAGAAUCCAGUUCAUACUCAGCAACUUAGGUGGAAUGCUUAGCCCACAAAUCUAUUUAGAAUCCUGAAAAACUUAGUCUUUUCUCUGUGCCCUGUAAUCAUUUCUGGAAGAAAACAUGCAUUUUGUUUGUUUCAAUAAAAGUGUAGUGUUUUGGGGGGAUUUUUUGUUUGUUUUAAAUGGGCCUCAAAUACACAGUGACACAACUCUUACUAAUGGGAUUCAAAUACACAGUGAGAUAGUAAGAGUUGUGUCAGUGUGUAUUUGAGGCCCAUUCAAUACAAAUAAUAUACAUUUGUCAUCCUACAGUUCUGGAGGUCAGAAGUCCAAAAAGCAGAGUUGCUCAUUCUUUCCAUCUUUGUCUUCACUUGCAAUGCUGACCUAUGACCUGAAAUUGCUGCCCAGUGAAAGUGAGUUAAGUUGUGCUGGUCCUUAGCACAUCAGCACCUCAGUUCCUCCCAUUGAGUACAAUUACCAAGGUGUGUGUGUGUGUCUUUUAUGUUGAACCAAUAGUGAUGUCCAGGACUAGGAAUGCCUGAGGUACUCAUCUGGUAGGUGUCUCUCGUAGGGAGCCCCCGGAGACAUUGCCCCCCACCCACCCCCCUGCAGGCAAUUCUGUGGCUACACUUGGCCAUUAUGGUUCUUAGGUUGCAGGAUGUAUGUCAGCAAAAAUUGUCAGGAAACUUUGAGGAACCAGAGUUAUUACUCUUGUGAUAUCUGCAAGUCCUGGAGAGUGUAUGGUAUGCCCAAGGACCACACAGCAAGGUCUCAGGUAAAGAAAGAGUGCAAGACAGGACCUGUGGCUGUACCUUUAUUAGUAUCACUAGUGGGGUGUCUAGAGUUUCCUAGGUUCACUCUUUAUUGGUCAGUUUAAAGCAUAAGAGCAGGAAUUAUAGUGUGGGAAAGAAGUGGGAUCACAGGACUUUCUGAAAGCAUGAUUUUCUUAUCUGGAAGCUCCUAAUUCCUCAUCUGGUUGUUUUGCUAGUAACCAUGUCAUAUAGCUGGCAAUAUGUUAAUUCAAGAUGGAUAUCUUUGGAAAUGGAUACCUUGGCACUCAAAAGCCUAAUGCCAGACAUUUACACUAUGAUCAGAAAGUUUAAUGUUAGCCACUUAUGCUCAGGUCGAUUUGCCACAGCCAAUCUGUGUAACUCUGUUUUUAUUAGGGGGUUUCAUAGUCUCUAUAACAAUAUUGAUCUUUCAAGAAUUUUUCCCCAGUCAUGACAAAUAGUAUCAACAUGUUCUUCAUUAUAUUUUGUCAUAUUUUAUUUAUAUACUGUUAUAUUUUAUUUGUUCACGGUAGAUACAACUUUUAUAUAAGAUAAAUAUUCUUAUUACUAAGAUAAAUUUAAAUUUAUUCACAGCAAAUUUUCACCUUCACUGGUUUAGUAUUUCUAAAUUUGAAAGUAGUUCACAAUUUAAAAAACAAUUAUGUUUGUUAUUCUGAAUAACUUCUGUUGUAUAUGGAAUAUUAUAUGUAUUGGUUAUUUUUGUUGUGUAACAAAUUAGCUAAAUUUAGUGGAUUAAAAAAGCCAGCAUUCAUCAGUUCACAAUAUGUGGGUGAGCAAUUUGGACUAAGUUCCGCUGAAUAGUUCUGUUGGUCGUGCUGGUUUACACGUGCGGCUGCAGUCAGCUUGUGGCUCUGCCGGAGCUGAAUGGUCUAGGAUAAAAUCAUUAUUAUAAUGGGCAGUUGGAAGCCUACUAGCCCUUCAAGGGGCUUCUCUAAGAAGCUAGAUUAGGAGUUCCCAUCAUGGCUCAGUGGUUAACGAAUAUGACUAGGAACCACGAGGUUUCAGGUUCCCUCAUUGCUGUGGCUCUGGUGUAGGCCGACGGCUACAGCUCCAAUUAGACCCCUAGCCUGGGAAUCUCCAUAUGCCGCAGGUGUGGCCCUAGAAAAG
rnacentral:lncRNA from 1 species